UACGUAGGUGGCAAGCGUUGUCCGGAAUUACUGGGUGUAAAGGGCGUGUAGGCGGGAAGAUAAGUCAGAUGUGAAAUUCCAUGGCUCAACUGUGGCGCUGCAUCUGAAACUAUUUUUCUUGAGUGCUGGAGAGGAAAGCGGAAUUCCUAGUGUAGCGGUGAAAUGCGUAGAUAUUAGGAGGAACACCAGUGGCGAAGGCGGCUUACUACACGAAGUAUUGACACUGAGGCACGAAAGCGUGGGAUCAAACAGG
rnacentral:rRNA from 1 species